CUCAAACUGGCUGCAGUCACUGGGAAUUUUCUAGCUGUAACAGCACGUUAAGACAGGUAUGAGGACAACCUUCGCAGAGUGCCAGGGUGGCUUGUGCUUACAGCCAUGGAUUCAUUCCUCAAGGAUUCACAUGGAUCUGAACACCCUGCAUCAUCUGCUAGAGAUUUAUUACAACAUGGCUCAGGAAAACAGGUUACAGGACCCUUUUAAAAGGGAGUACUGCCUCUUGAUGGAACCCCAGCUGUAACACUAAGUGGGUAGCAAUUCCCUCUAGACAUAUUAAAGUUCCAGAGCUUCUGCUGUUAAUAUGACACCAGAUCCUUCUGUAUUUUUCUAAAUGUCAAUAAAUGAAAC
ensembl:lncRNA